GGUUAAGCGACUAAGCGUACACGGUGGAUGCCCUGGCAGUCAGAGGCGAUGAAGGACGUGCUAAUCUGCGAUAAGCGCCGGUAAGGUGAUAUGAACCGUUAUAACCGGCGAUUUCCGAAUGGGGAAACCCAGUGUGACUCGUCACACUAUCAUUAACUGAAUCCAUAGGUUAAUGAGGCGAACCGGGGGAACUGAAACAUCUAAGUACCCCGAGGAAAAGAAAUCAACCGAGAUUCCCCCAGUAGCGGCGAGCGAACGGGGAGGAGCCCAGAGCCUGAAUCAGCAUGUGUGUUAGUGGAAGCGUCUGGAAAGGCGCGCGAUACAGGGUGACAGCCCCGUACACAAAAGCGCAUGUGCUGUGAGCUCGAUGAGUAGGGCGGGACACGUGGUAUCCUGUCUGAAUAUGGGGGGACCAUCCUCCAAGGCUAAAUACUCCUGACUGACCGAUAGUGAACCAGUACCGUGAGGGAAAGGCGAAAAGAACCCCGGCGAGGGGAGUGAAAAAGAACCUGAAACCGUGUACGUACAAGCAGUGGGAGCACAGGUUUACCUGUGUGACUGCGUACCUUUUGUAUAAUGGGUCAGCGACUUAUAUUCUGUAGCAAGGUUAACCGAAUAGGGGAGCCGGAGGGAAACCGAGUCUUAAUUGGGCGUUAAGUUGCAGGGUAUAGACCCGAAACCCGGUGAUCUAGCCAUGGGCAGGUUGAAGGUUGGGUAACACUAACUGGAGGACCGAACCGACUAAUGUUGAAAAAUUAGCGGAUGACCUGUGGCUGGGGGUGAAAGGCCAAUCAAACCGGGAGAUAGCUGGUUCUCCCCGAAAGCUAUUUAGGUAGCGCCUCGUGAAUUCAUCUCCGGGGGUAGAGCACUGUUUCGGCUAGGGGGCCAUCCCGGCUUACCAACCCGAUGCAAACUGCGAAUACCGGAGAAUGUUAUCACGGGAGACACACGGCGGGUGCUAACGUCCGUCGUGAAGAGGGAAACAACCCAGACCGCCAGCUAAGGUCCCAAAGUCAUGGUUAAGUGGGAAACGAUGUGGGAAGGCCCAGACAGCCAGGAUGUUGGCUUAGAAGCAGCCAUCAUUUAAAGAAAGCGUAAUAGCUCACUGGUCGAGUCGGCCUGCGCGGAAGAUGUAACGGGGCUAAACCAUGCACCGAAGCUGCGGCAGCGAACGUAUCACUUAAAGCGAUUCAGCGGGUUACGAUUGACGGAGCGAAGCGACGUCAAAGCGUAUACAAAGUCGAGUCGGUUUAAGGAUACGUUCGUUGGGUAGGGGAGCGUUCUGUAAGCCUGCGAAGGUGGCCUGUGAGGGUUGCUGGAGGUAUCAGAAGUGCGAAUGCUGACAUAAGUAACGAUAAAGCGGGUGAAAAGCCCGCUCGCCGGAAGACCAAGGGUUCCUGUCCAACGUUAAUCGGGGCAGGGUGAGUCGACCCCUAAGGCGAGGCCGAAAGGCGUAGUCGAUGGGAAACGGGUUAAUAUUCCCGUACUUGGUGUUACUGCGAAGGGGGGACGGAGAAGGCUAUGUUGGCCGGGCGACGGUUGUCCCGGUUUAAGCGUGUAGGUGUGUGUUCCAGGUAAAUCCGGUUCACUUUAACACUGAGGCGUGAUGACGAGGCACUACGGUGCUGAAGCAACAAAUGCCCUGCUUCCAGGAAAAGCCUCUAAGCAUCAGGUAACAUCAAAUCGUACCCCAAACCGACACAGGUGGUCAGGUAGAGAAUACCAAGGCGCUUGAGAGAACUCGGGUGAAGGAACUAGGCAAAAUGGUGCCGUAACUUCGGGAGAAGGCACGCUGACACGUAGGUGAAGUGAUUUACUCAUGGAGCUGAAGUCAGUCGAAGAUACCAGCUGGCUGCAACUGUUUAUUAAAAACACAGCACUGUGCAAACACGAAAGUGGACGUAUACGGUGUGACGCCUGCCCGGUGCCGGAAGGUUAAUUGAUGGGGUCAGCGCAAGCGAAGCUCCUGAUCGAAGCCCCGGUAAACGGCGGCCGUAACUAUAACGGUCCUAAGGUAGCGAAAUUCCUUGUCGGGUAAGUUCCGACCUGCACGAAUGGCGUAAUGAUGGCCAGGCUGUCUCCACCCGAGACUCAGUGAAAUUGAACUCGCUGUGAAGAUGCAGUGUACCCGCGGCAAGACGGAAAGACCCCGUGAACCUUUACUAUAGCUUGACACUGAACAUUGAGCCUUGAUGUGUAGGAUAGGUGGGAGGCUUUGAAGUGUGGACGCCAGUCUGCAUGGAGCCGACCUUGAAAUACCACCCUUUAAUGUUUGAUGUUCUAACGUGGACCCGUUACCCGGGUUGCGGACAGUGUCUGGUGGGUAGUUUGACUGGGGCGGUCUCCUCCUAAAGAGUAACGGAGGAGCACGAAGGUUGGCUAAUCCUGGUCGGACAUCAGGAGGUUAGUGCAAUGGCAUAAGCCAGCUUGACUGCGAGCGUGACGGCGCGAGCAGGUGCGAAAGCAGGUCAUAGUGAUCCGGUGGUUCUGAAUGGAAGGGCCAUCGCUCAACGGAUAAAAGGUACUCCGGGGAUAACAGGCUGAUACCGCCCAAGAGUUCAUAUCGACGGCGGUGUUUGGCACCUCGAUGUCGGCUCAUCACAUCCUGGGGCUGAAGUAGGUCCCAAGGGUAUGGCUGUUCGCCAUUUAAAGUGGUACGCGAGCUGGGUUUAGAACGUCGUGAGACAGUUCGGUCCCUAUCUGCCGUGGGCGCUGGAGAACUGAGGGGGGCUGCUCCUAGUACGAGAGGACCGGAGUGGACGCAUCACUGGUGUUCGGGUUGUCAUGCCAAUGGCACUGCCCGGUAGCUAAAUGCGGAAGAGAUAAGUGCUGAAAGCAUCUAAGCACGAAACUUGCCCCGAGAUGAGUUCUCCCUGAGACUUAGAGUCUCCUGAAGGAACGUUGAAGACGACGACGUUGAUAGGCCGGGUGUGUAAGCGCAGCGAUGCGUUGAGCUAACCGGUACUAAUGAACCGUGAGGCUUAACCUU
rnacentral:rRNA from 1 species